rnacentral:rRNA from 1 species
CCUACGGGAGGCAGCAGUAGGGAAUAUUGCUCAAUGGGCGAAACCCUGAAGCAGCAACGCCGCGUGGAGGAUGAAGGUUUUCGGAUUUUAAACUCUUUUUGUUAGAGAAGAUAAUGACGGUAUCUAACGAAUAAGCACCGGCUAACUCCGUGCCAGCAGCCGCGGUAAUACGGAGGGUGCAAGCGUUACUCGGAAUCACUGGGCGUAAAGAGCGCGUAGGCGGGAUAGAAAGUCAGAUGUGAAAUGCUAUGGCUUAACCAUAGAACUGCAUUUGAAACUGUUAUUCUAGAGUAUGGGAGAGGUAGGUGGAAUUCUUGGUGUAGGGGUAAAAUCCGUAGAGAUCAAGAGGAAUACUCAUUGCGAAGGCGACCUGCUAGAACAUAACUGACGCUGAUGCGCGAAAGCGUGGGGAGCAAACAGGAUUAGAUACCCCUGUAGUC